CCCGGCGACCAUAGCGGAGGGGUCACACCCGUUCCCAUUCCGAACACGGUCGUUAAGCCCUCCAGCGCCGAUGGUACUGCGCUGGCAACGGCGUGGAAGAGUAGGACAUCGCCGGGA
rnacentral:rRNA from 1 species